rnacentral:sRNA from 1 species
GAUGAGAAGCUUCGACCAAGGUUCGACUUGAGCGCCAGCGAGAGAGCGUUGCCGCAGGCAACGACCCGAAGGGCGAAGCGCGCAGCGCUGAGUAAUCCUUCCCCCACCACCA